GUGGUGGUGGUGGUGGCGGUGGCGUGAAGUGAACUAUUGAUCUAUAUCGGCUCGACGUAGUGUCUCAAAAGAACAGUGUCAUUCGCUAAGGUCUGAUCCCACUCUGUACUCGUGAUCGCCAGCCAGCCAGCCAGUACCAUCCACGAACGAGAUUAGGGAGUUCAGGUGAGGGAUCCACGAACGAGAUUGGGGAGUUCAGGUGAGGGAUCCACGAACGAUAUUGGGGAGUUCAGGUGAGGGAUCCACGAACGAGAUUGGGGAGUUCAGGUGAGGGAUCCACGAACGAGAUUGGGGAGUUCAGGUGAGGGAUCCACGAACGAGAUUGGGGAGUUCAGGUGAGGGAUCCACGAACGAGAUUGGGGAGUUCAGGUGAGGGAUCCACGAACGAGAUUGGGGAGUUCAGGUGAGGGAUCCACGAACGAGAUUGGGGAGUUCAGGUGAGGGAUCCACGAACGAGAUUGGGGAGUUCAGGUGAGGGAUCCACGAACGAGAUUGGGGAGUUCAGGUGAGGGAUCCACGAACGAGAUUGGGGAGUUCAGGUGAGGGAUCCACGAACGAGAUUGGGGAGUUCAGGAGACGGAUAUUCAUGUACGAGGGAAACUAUACACCUACAACCCCGCCUGACAGACACCGGUACACCCAUUCACUGCGGGGCGGACGGAUUGAAAGACAGAUUAAAGGAGACUGACCUAGCCUGACCAAGCUAACCACCACACUACAGAAUGGGCGUGUGAGUAUGUGUGUGCGUGUGUGUGUGUCUGUGUGCGUGUGUGUGUGUGUAAAUGUGCGUGCUUGUCUGUAAUUAACCUACUUUCUUGUUGCUGGACUGAGCAAGGGUCAUAUUUUUAAACAAUUCUGCGCCCAAGAACACGUAAUUUACUAGUCUUUCGUGGGAGUUUAGGGCAUUUCCAGGGGUACUUUUAUGACCCUGGUGGUAGUCUGAGCCUUCUUCUGUACCGUGAACCUAAAAGAACACUCAUUAGAACUCGAUUAAGCUCCUUUUUGGCCUCUGGAAAAUGUUGGUGUGAGGGACGGGAGCAUUUGACAAUAUCAACCCAAGCCCCUGUGUCGAGAGUGAGGAGGUGCCGAGAGUUCCCCCGUCGGUUACUCGCCUUAGCGGUGCGGGGCCCGGCCAGCACCCCGCGCCUCGACACACACCCUGGGUAAAGUGCGGUGGCCAUUCAGUUUCGGUUGUAUGUGGGCGCAGUUGUAAGAAGACCGCCCGUUCGUAUCUACUUCACCCCGGAAUGAAACCCAGGAUCAGC